rnacentral:rRNA from 1 species
AGAGCGAACGCUGGCGGCAGGCCUAAUACAUGCAAGUCGAACGGACCCUUCGGGGUUAGUGGCGGACGGGUGAGUAACACGUGGGAACGUGCCCUUUGGUUCGGAACAACUCAGGGAAACUUGAGCUAAUACCGAAUGUGCCCCCAUCCUUAAACAAGAUGGGUGGGAAAGAUUUAUCGCCAUUGGAGCGGCCCGCGUCUGAUUAGCUAGUUGGUGAGGUAAAGGCUCACCAAGGCGACGAUCAGUAGCUGGUCUGAGAGGAUGAUCAGCCACACUGGGACUGAGACACGGCCCAGACUCCUACGGGAGGCAGCAGUAGGGAAUCUUGCGCAAUGGGCGAAAGCCUGACGCAGCCAUGCCGCGUGAAUGAUGAAGGUCUUAGGAUUGUAAAAUUCUUUCAGCGGGACGAUAAUGACGGUACCGCAGAAGAACGCCCGGCUAACUUCGCGCCAGCAGCCGC